rnacentral:tRNA from 1 species
GCCUGCUUAGCUCAGUUGGUAGAGCUUCGGUCUUGUAAACCGAAGGUCAUCGGUUCGACUCCGAUAGCUGGCU